rnacentral:pre_miRNA from 1 species
UGGACUCUAGCUGCCAAAGACGCUUCUCCUUCUAAACAGAGCGCUUUGCUCAGCCAGUGUAGACAU